CUCACUCCCCCUUUUUUCUCCUGUUUUUCUAUCAUCUCCUACCACUCUUCCUUUCAAAAGUUUUUAAUAAUAUUAUUCUUAAUCCCCAAUCCUUUUUUUUUCUCCCACUUCCUUUAUAAGGAACUCUCGAAAUUAACCAUGCCCCCUCUCUUCUAUUCCUUAUUUCUACUCUUUUUUUUUUCCAACUACACCUCUAUUCUUC
rnacentral:lncRNA from 1 species